rnacentral:rRNA from 1 species
GGAAACCGGAGACUAAUACCGGAUAAUAUUUUGAACCGCAUGGUUCAAAAGUGAAAGACGGUCUUGCUGUCACUUAUAGAUGGAUCCGCGCUGCAUUAGCUAGUUGGUAAGGUAACGGCUUACCAAGGCAACGAUGCAUAGCCGACCUGAGAUGGUGAUCGGCCACACUGGAACUGAGACACGGUCCAG